rnacentral:misc_RNA from 1 species
UCCGACUUGAAGGUCGGCAGUCUCGUCAGAGUGCCCAACUUAAUGCUGGCAACAGACGAUAGGGGUUGCGCUCGUUGCGAGACUUAACCCAACAUUUCACAACACGAGCUGACGACAGCCAUGCAGCACCUCUCACUACAUUCCCUUGCGGGCACCCCGUCCAUUACAACGGGUUCGUAGGAGUUCAAGCCUAGGUAAGGUUCUGCGCGUUGCUUCGAAUUAAACCACAUAAUCCACCGCUUGUGCGGGCCCCCGUCAAUUUGUUUGAGUUUUAGUCUUGCGACCGUACUCCCCAGGCGGAAUACUUAAUGCGUUAGCUGCGUCACUGAGGGAGUCAAUACCCCCAAUAACUAGUAUUCAUCGUUUACGGCGUGGACUAC